GUGGACAAAUUGUGUCGAAGUUGAUAUCAACUCAAUAUUAAGUUGAUAAAAAAAUUACUGAAAAUUACAUGAAACUAACACUAAGUCUUGUUUAUAGUUUUGCACAAAUAUAAUUGAAAAAAGAGUAUAAAAAACGACUGCAUGGUAGUGGUAGUGUCUGGGCACUACGAAACGUUUUUCUCCCAAACCGAAAAAGAAAAUAGAAAUCAAAAUAAGGAAAUGAAAAUCAAAUAAGGAAAUAGAAACCGAAUAAGGAAAUGAAAACCGAAUAAGGAAAAAGAAACCGAAUAAGAAAAUAGAAACCCAAUAAGGAAA
rnacentral:lncRNA from 1 species